UUCGUAGGCGGCGCAGAAAGUAGGGUGUGAAAGCCCUCGGCUCAACCGAGGAAUUGCGCUCUAAACUACUGUGCUCGAGGGACCUAGAGGUGAGCGGAACUGAUGGUGGAGCGGUGAAAUGCGUUGAUAUCAUCAGGAACACCGGAGGCGAAGGCGGCUCACUGGGGGUCUUCUGACGCUGAGGAACGAAAGCCAGGGGAGCGAACG
rnacentral:rRNA from 1 species